UACGUAGGGUGCGAGCGUUGUCCGGAAUUAUUGGGCGUAAAGGGCUCGUAGGCGGUUUGUCGCGUCGGGAGUGAAAUCCACUGGCUUAACUGGUGGCUUGCUUUCGAUACGGGCAGACUGGAGGUAUGCAGGGGAGAACGGAAUUCCUGGUGUAGCGGUGAAAUGCGCAGAUAUCAGGAGGAACACCUAUUGCGAAGGCAGCUCGCUGGGACGUAACUGACGCUGAGACGCGAAAGCGUGGGGAGCAAACAGG
rnacentral:rRNA from 1 species